GGCCUGUAGAGUAGGAUUUCAGGUCUGGCCUGCCCAAUGAAGAUUUAAUGGCCGCGGUAUAUUGACCGUGCAAAGGUAGCAUAAUCAUUAGUUUUUUAAUUGAAAGCUUGUAUGAAGGGUUUGAUGAAGAAAGAACUGUCUCUAGAAGAUUUUAUUAGAAUUUUAUUUUUGAGUAAAAAAGCUUAAAUGUUUAUAGAAGACGAGAAGACCCUAUAGAGUUUAAUAUUUAAUUUUAUUUAAAAAUUUUAGAAUUAAUUGAUUUGUAAUAAAAUAAAGUAUUUUAUUGGGGUGAUAAAAAAAUUAAAUAAACUUUUAGAAAGCUAAACAUUGGUUUAUGAAUAAUUGAUCCUAUUUUUUAGAUUAUAAGAUUAAAUUACCUUAGGGAUAACAGCGUAAUUUUUUUUAGAGUUCUUAUCGAAAAAAAAGAUUGCGACCUCGAUGUUGGAUUAAAAUUAAUUGCUGGCGCAGAAGUUAGCGGAUUUGGUCUGUUCGACCUUUAAAAUUUUACAUGAUCUGAGUUUAAACCGGUGUGAG
rnacentral:rRNA from 1 species